AGAGUUUGAUCCUGGCUCAGAUUGAACGCUGGCGGCAUGCCUUACACAUGCAAGUCGAACGGCAGCGCGGGGCAACCUGGCGGCGAGUGGCGAACGGGUGAGUAAUAUAUCGGAACGUACCCUGGAGUGGGGGAUAACGUAGCGAAAGUUACGCUAAUACCGCAUACGAUCUAAGGAUGAAAGUGGGGGAUCGCAAGACCUCAUGCUCCUGGAGCGGCCGAUAUCUGAUUAGCUAGUUGGUGGGGUAAAGGCCUACCAAGGCAUCGAUCAGUAGCUGGUCUGAGAGGACGACCAGCCACACUGGAACUGAGACACGGUCCAGACUCCUACGGGAGGCAGCAGUGGGGAAUUUUGGACAAUGGGCGAAAGCCUGAUCCAGCAAUGCCGCGUGAGUGAAGAAGGCCUUCGGGUUGUAAAGCUCUUUUGUCAGGGAAGAAACGGUGAGGGCUAAUAUCUCUUGCUAAUGACGGUACCUGAAGAAUAAGCACCGGCUAACUACGUGCCAGCAGCCGCGGUAAUACGUAGGGUGCAAGCGUUGAUCGGAAUUACUGGGCGUAAAGCGUGCGCAGGCGGUUUUGUAAGUCUGUCGUGAAAUCCCCGGGCUCAACCUGGGAAUUGCGAUGGAGACUGCAAGGCUAGAAUCUGGCAGAGGGGGGUAGAAUUCCACGUGUAGCAGUGAAAUGCGUAGAGAUGUGGAGGAACACCGAUGGCGAAGGCAGCCCCCUGGGUCAAGAUUGACGCUCAUGCACGAAAGCGUGGGGAGCAAACAGGAUUAGAUACCCUGGUAGUCG
rnacentral:rRNA from 1 species